UACGUAGGGUGCGAGCGUUGCCCGGAUUUAUUGGGCGUAAAGGGCGCGUAGGCGGUCACGCGCGUCCGUUGUGAAAUCGCUCGGCUCAACUGGGCGAGGUCAGCGGAUACGGCGUGGCUGGAGCAAGCUAGGGGGCAAUGGAAUUCCCGGUGUAGUGGUGGAAUGCGUAGAUAUCAAGAGGAACACCUGCGGCGAAGGCGGGUUGCUGGGCCGACACUGACGCUGAGGCGCGAAAGCUAGGGGAGCGAACGGG
rnacentral:rRNA from 1 species